GUCCCUGUAGAACAAUGGACAGCGCGUUGGACUUCUAAUACAAAGGUCGUGAGUUUGAAUCCCACCUGGGAUG
rnacentral:tRNA from 1 species